GUGAGGAGGGCAAGUAUUUCCCAGGAGCUGCAGAUCUGACAGGCCAGGAGGGAAGAGGCUGCAGGAACAAGUCUCAUCAGGCUGCAGGGGGCCCUUCCCAGACGCUGCUGGCAUCCUGGACCCGAUGCUGCCUCCUUGCUCACAUAGUGCAUCAGAGACUCAGCCGAGUCCACUGGACGUGUGGAGACCUGUCCCCGAGAGCACUAAAUUCCUUGCAGCUUCCAGCAAGUUAAGGACAGAGCCCAGAGACUGAAAUGAAAACACCAACAGGAGGAGGCCUGCUCUUAACCACCAAGUUUGGGGCAUAGUAGGCAUUCGGCAGAUAUUUGCUAAAAACAAACAUUGAGGGGUCCUAUGAAUUCCGAGCAGUUUUCUGCCCCUGCUGCACAGCGUGGGGAACGCAUGGCCACGGCAGCCAGCGGGUCGUUUUCUGAAUUGAUGAGCCUGAUGCCUAUAAUUUUCCCAAAGCAAAAUAUUUGUGGGUAUGGCUACGUGCCAUGGAAUUUCUAGACUUCGUGCCUUCCUUUUCUAUCCAUGGAAACUUUGCUUUUCUUUCCUAUACGUGGUCACUUCAUUUACCCUCCUCGGUUUCUCUAAGGGGAGCCCUGGGGCAU